rnacentral:tRNA from 1 species
GCAUGUAGCUCAGUUGUAGAGCACUUGCCUAGCAUGUGCAAGGCCCUGGGUUCGAUCCCCAGCACUGAA